UUAAUCGAAACCAAAUAUUAGGUAUAUCACUGUUAAUGAUAAAAUUGAAUUUAUUUUCCGAUUAAA
rnacentral:tRNA from 1 species